rnacentral:rRNA from 1 species
AGAGACUCAGUGAAAUUGAAUUCCCCGUGAAGAUGCGGGGUUCCUGCGGUCAGACGGAAAGACCCCGUGCACCUUUACUAUAGGUUCACAUUGACAUUGGAUAAUUCAUGUGUAGGAUAGGUGGGAGACUUUGAAGUGUUGGCGCCAGCUGGCAUGGAGUCGCCCUUGAAAUACCACCCUGGUAACUUUGAGGUUCUAACUUAGGUCCCUAAUCGGGAUUGAGGACAGUGUGUGGUGGGUAGUUUGACUGGGGUGGUCGCCUCC